AUACGGAGGGGCGAACGUUGUUCGGAAUUACUGGGCGUAAAGGGUGCGUAGGCGGUUUGGUAAGUCUGGUGUGAAAUUUCCUCGCUUAACGAGGGAACUGCAUUGGAAACUGCCGAGCUCGAGGGUGGGAGAGGCAGGUGGAAUUCCUGGUGUAGCGGUGGAAUGCGUAGAUAUCAGGAAGAACACUCGUGGCGAAGGCGGCCUGCUGGCCCAUUCCUGACGCUGAGGCACGAAAGCCAGGGGAGC
rnacentral:rRNA from 1 species